ensembl:snoRNA
UGCCACUUUAUAACUACAGAACCCAUAUAGACAGGUGCAAACAGUAAAUCCUCUUUUGCAACCCAGAACUCACUGUUGAGUAUGAGAUGUGGUACAUAUAAGAAGGAAUAUG